rnacentral:rRNA from 1 species
CGUGGACACCUACCCUUAGGUCGGGGAUAAACCCGGGAAACUGGGUAUAAUACCCGAUAGUCCUCGGAUGCUGGAAUGCACCGAGGUCUAAAGCUCCGGCGCCUAAGGAUGGGUCUGCGGCCUAUCAGGUAGUAGUGGGUGUAGCGUACCUACUAGCCUACGACGGGUACGGGUUGUGAGAGCAAGAGCCCGGAGAUGGAUUCUGAGACACGAAUCCAGGCCCUACGGGGUGCAGCAGGCGCGAAAACUUUACAAUGCUGGAAACAGCGAUAAGGGGACCUCGAGUGCCAGGUUACAAAUCUGGCUGUCGUGAUGCCUAAAAAGCAUUGCAUAGCAAGGGCCGGGCAAGACCGGUGCCAGCCGCCGCGGUAACACCGGCGGCUCGAGUGGUAACCGCUAUUAUUGGGUCUAAAGGGUCUGUAGCCGGCCGGAUAAGUCUUUUGGGAAAUCUGGCAGCUUAACUGUCAGGCUUUCAGAGGAUACUGUCUGGCUCGAGGCCGGGAGAGGUGAGAGGUACUUCAGGGGUAGGGGUGAAAUCUUGUAAUCCUUGAAGGACCAC